UAUUAUUUCAUGUGGAUUUGGAUGGCUGGGAGUUUUGCAGGUCUUUGUGAUCUGCUCUCCUGAAAUAAAUUAGUGGCUGGUGUCUGGGAAUCCACUACAGGUGUAAUCUUUGUAUGCCUCUUGUAAAAAGGGUCCUGUUUUGCCCAAGCUGCUUCAAAAUCUCUACUAGACCAAU
rnacentral:rRNA from 1 species